rnacentral:rRNA from 1 species
UCCUACGGGAGGCAGCAGUGGGGAAUAUUGCACAAUGGGCGCAAGCCUGAUGCAGCCAUGCCGCGUGUAUGAAGAAGGCCUUCGGGUUGUAAAGUACUUUCAGCAGUGAGGAAGGUGGGUAUGUUAAUAGCAUAUUCAUUUGACGUUAGCUGCAGAAGAAGCACCGGCUAACUCCGUGCCAGCAGCCGCGGUAAUACGGAGGGUGCGAGCGUUAAUCGGAAUUACUGGGCGUAAAGCGCAUGCAGGUGGUUUGUUAAGUCAGAUGUGAAAAGCCCCGGGGCUCAACCUCGGAAUUGCAUUUGAAACUGGCAAACUAGAGUACUGUAGAGGGGGUAGAAUUUCAGGUGUAGCGGUGAAAUGCGUAGAGAUCUGAAGGAAUACCCGGUGGCGAAGGCGGCCCCCUGGACAGAUACUGACACUCAGAUGCGAAAGCGUGGGGAGCAAACAGGAUUAGAUACCCUGGUAG